rnacentral:lncRNA from 7 species
ACAAACUCCGAGUGCUGGAUGUCAGCUGCUCCAGAUCAAGCUGGAGGUGCAAGCCAGCGAGCAGAGCAUCUGAAAAUGAGAGACUGCGGGUGAAGGAAGCGGGAAGGUGAAUAAGAGGUCCACGGGCUGCUUUUAUACUUCCAUCAUCAUAUCUGUGGCCUUCAAAGUUACAGCUGAUGGACCUUCUGUCAGGAACCAGAUACUUAAUCAAUCUGACAGCAUCCUACAUUUUUUGAACCCAGAGGCCUUGAAAAAGUUUAAUGCAGCUUCCAGAUUGCAAAAAGCUGCAGGUGACGAAGUGUUCCUCAUUCAGGGGUAGAGCUGGGUGGUGUGUGAGGAGGAAAAGAAGGGAAGCUGAGGGAGGCACAGCAAUGGGUUCCAUGUACUCUUGGAUACUUGCUGAUACCAGACACGAGUGACCCACCCUGGGAGCAGGCACAGUUGUUUUGGUUCCCAUGCUGCUCAUGUCCAGGGAAAUGACCCUACAGGGUCUCCUCCACUUUCCACGUGGCUCAUAGCAGCACCAAGCAUAAAACGAGGAGAGAAUGAACAAAUUCAGCCAGACCAGACCAGAGGAUCAGGACCAGUCCCUCCUGGUGACAGCCCUUUUCCCUACCUGCUACAAGGACUAGGCCAUGUUAAGUUCACCAGUAUACUAAAGCAUAUUUAUAGCCAGAAGGAAGACUUACUUCUGCCCUGGGGAGCCGUUGUUUCCUUCUACUGAUGCACUCAAGUGGUACAGGUUGAAGGCGUGUAUGAGGCACAGCAGGGGAAGAAGCAGUAGGGAAAUAGCAUCUCACAUCUCACACCCAGGGUGAAGAGUUUAUAGUGAAAGCUCUGUAAUCUCUUGUCCACUGUGUCUGGGCAAAGAAAAGAGUGGAAAUUAAUUUAAUGGGAGAUGCCAACUAAAUCACCACAAUGAAAAAAAUAUAGGAAACUGCAUUAGAGAGGAUGGCUGUGCUGCAAGCAAUUUCUGGUGAUGCCACUCAGCAGGGAAGAACUGUAGCAAAGGACCUCUGUGUGUCUCCCUUCCUUGGUGGUUGCCCCCCAUAAGCGCUAACGACCUACCCGUCAGCUGCCAGGCCCUGCGUGACCACCCUUCUCAUCUCAGCCACCAGCUGAUCCCCAGUCACUCCGCUGAGAGUGAAAGAAACAAAGAAAGCAAAGGGGAAGCUACCUGUUUGUAAUUGAAUCGCUUAGAAGAGAGGAGCAGCACUGGGCUGGUCCUUGGUGGCCAAUACAGCUUGCAGCAGCAGAGCUGUCUCCACAGGCAAUUUCUGAUUUUCGCUCCUGAUCUCCAUACAGUUUUAACUAUAAAGACAAUCUGAAUAAAGGGAAAAGUGGGACUGAAUCCCAGCAGUGAAACUGUGUUUUUUCCACAGUAGAAGUUCCUUACCAACCGGAGUAUGAAUAAGGAGAAAUCAGGGAACACUGGUACGAGCGUAAAUGAAAAGAGCAAGGGAAAAUCAAGGGAUAUCUGAAUCUAUCAUCCAUUUCUUAACAAAACCCCAGAACAUUCUCUUCUUUCAUUUAAAAU